rnacentral:tRNA from 2 species
GCUAUUGUAGCUUAACCAAAGCAUAACAUUGAAGAUGUUAAGAUGGGCCGUGAAAAGCUCCAAAAGCA